GACGAACGCUGGCGGCGUACUUAACACAUGCAAGUCACGGGGGGCCCGCAAGGGUAACCGGCGAACGGGCGCGUAACACGUAAGCGACCUGCCGAUCUGCGGGGGAUAGCCGGCCCAACGGCCGGGUAAUACCGCAUACGCUCUCUGGGUUACAUGGCCUGGGGAGGAAACCUCCGGGGCGGAUCGAGGGGCUUGCGGCCUAUCAGCUAGUUGGUGAGGUAACGGCUCACCAAGGCGGUGACGGGUAGCUGGUCUGAGAGGAUGGCCAGCCACAUUGGGACUGAGAGACGGCUCAGACUCCUACGGGAGGCAGCAGUGGGGAAUCUUGCGCAAUGGGCGAAAGCCUGACGCAGCGACGCCGCGUGGGGGAUGACGCAUUUCGGUGUGU
rnacentral:rRNA from 1 species